GCCGAAGUGGUGGAACUUGGUAGACACGCUAUCUUGAGGGGGUAGUGGGGCGACCCGUGCCGGUUCAAGUCCGGCCUUCGGCACCA
rnacentral:tRNA from 2 species